CGUAUUAGGGCAACUGAUCCAUUGCUUUUCUUUUUGUCUCUCUUCUUUCCUUUCUCUCUCUCUCCUUCAACGCCGGUUCUCUCUCUUUCUUUCUCUCCUCCUUCCUUUCUCCGAUCAGUUGCAGCCGUCACUAUAACGUCGCAGCCGAAGCUCUCUUCGACGAGGUUGGGUUGCUAUUUCUUGAAAAAAAGGUUGGUUGCUAAUUUUCGACGAUCGCUUGCCUCUUUCUCUUUAAAUUAGGCCAAACAAAGGAUUCAACAUGCUAGAGUUCAACAUAGUACAAUAUGAUGAUAGGAUUCAUGAAAUUGUCAAUGAUGCUUUUGGAAUUGAGGAUGGGAUGGAACACGAACAGAAUUUAGAAGAAGAUCCCAAUGAAGAAGCAAGGGGUUUCUAUCAACAAUUAGAAGAGGCUAGUCACCCACUAUGUGAAGGGAGUCUGCAUUCUGCUUUAUUAGUUGCAAUAAGAUUAAUGAGUAUCAAAUCUGAUUGGAAUAUUGCUCAAGCUGCUAUGGACUCUAUGGUUGGUCUUUUGGGCGAACUAGUAAAUCCAAAGUUGGACAUACCUCAAAAUUUUUAUCAAGCAAAGAAAUUGGUUUCCAAGUUGGGAUUGUCAUAUAAUAGAAUCCAUUGUAGUAUAAAUGGUUGUAUGUUGUUCUAUAAGAAUGAUGCAGAGUUAGAAAAUUGUAAGUUUUGUGGACAUGCUCAUUAUACGCGGACUCCUAGUGGAAAUAUGGUUUCUAUUAAGGUGAUGCACUAUUUACCUCUUAUACCUAGGCUAAAGAGGUUGUAUGCUUCGAUGAGUUCUGCCCCACACAUGAAAUGACACCAUGAAAGUCUUAUCUCAUCCAUCAGAUGGAGAAGCUUGGAAGCAUUUCGAUAGAACUUAUCUUGAUUUUGCUAGUGAGCCAAGAAAUGUUAGAUUGGGAUUAUGUGCAGAUGGUUUCACACCAUUCUUGUUGGCCUGUAUUUAUUACUCCAUAUAAUCUCCCACCUGAAAUGUGCAUGUCAAGUCCCUACAUAUUUCUAAAUUGUAUUAUUCUAGGUUUCCGCAAUCCAAAAAGUUUGAUCGAUGUAUAUCUCCAGCCAUUGAUAGAUGAAUUACUACAAUUAUGGCAUGAAAGUGUAGUGAUAUAUGAUAUAUCAACUAAGCAGAAUUUUGUUAUGCGUGCAAAUUUAAUGUGGACUAUUAGUGAUUUUCUUGCAUAUGGGAUAUUCUCCGGUUGGAUGACUGUUGGAAAGUUAGAUUGCCCAUAUUGUAUUGAAAAUAGUAAAGCAUUCACUUUAAAGUAUGGUCGAAAAAAUUAUUGGUUUGAUUGUCACCGCUAGUUCUAACCAAUGGACCAUGAGUUUAGAAGGAUGAAAAAUGCCUUUAAAAAAGAAUAAUAUUGAGAAUGAUUUGCCACCUCCAUUACUGUCAAGACAUCAGAUUUGGGAUAGAUUUGUAAUUUUCCUAAAGUUACAGAUGACCCACCUUUUAGACUUUCUGGAUAUGGUGUUGAACAUAAUUGAACAAACAAAGCAUAUUUUGGGAGUUGCCUUAUUGGGGGGACGAUAAACUAAGGCAUAAUUUUGAUCUGAUGCACAUUGAAAAAAAUUAUUUUGAUAAUUUAUUCAACACAGUCAUGGAUGUUAAGGGCAAGACAAAAGAUAAUUCAAAAGCUAGAAUGGAUAUUAAGGAGUAUUGCAAGGGAAAGGAAUUGCGGUUGAAGGAAAAAAGAAAAUGGCAAAUUAUUUAAGCCCAAGGCCAGUUUUUCAUCCACAUUAGAUGAGAAACGGGAAAUAUGUCUGUGGGUUAAGGAUUUGAGGAUGCUCGAGGGCUAUUCUAUGAAUUUAGGAAAGGGAGUGGAUAUGGAAGAAGGGAAGUUGAUUGGUAUAAAAAGCCAUGAUUGUCACGUUUUUAUGGAAACCUUGAUUCCUAUCUUAUUUAGCCACCUUCCUGAGAGGAUAUGGAAACCAAUCACAGAGAUAAGUUUGUUCUUCAAAGAUUUGUGUUUGGAAAAGUUGUUGGAGAGUAGCUUGGACAAAAUGAAGCAGAAUAUUCCUGUCAUCCCUACUAAGUUGGAGAAGAUCUUUCCAUGUGGCUUUUUUGAUGUGAUGGAGCAUCUUCCAGUUCACCUUGUAGAAGAGGCACGUCUUGGAGUCCCAGUUCAAAUGAGGUGUAUGUGUCAAGGAGAGAGGUAAGUUUUUUUAAAUUAAUGCCAUUAUUUUCUGUAAAAUAUUACUUUUAUCUACCUAAGAUAAAAUUAUGCAGGAAAAUUGGCGAGUGAAAACAAACUAUUAAGCAAGGGGAAAGAUUGAAGGAACGAUUUGUGAAGCUUAUCUUGCAAAAGAAAUUGCUUAUUUUUGUUCUUACUACUUUGGGGAUGAAGUGACAUGUAAGAGAAAUAAGUCCAAUUGUAAUGAUAAAGAUGAUGGUGAUCCUAUGUUUUCAGCUAUAUUGAUUUUAACAAUUCGGGUAAAAGAUCUAAAAGUUAUUGUACGCGAGCACCACUGGUAUGGAAAAAAAAAUCAAUUGUGACAUGUUUUGCUCAAUUGUCCAGAGAUUCAACCAUAUCUUGAGUAAGUGUUAAUGAUGUUAUCGAAUUAUAUUAAUUUGUUAAGGACACUUCACUAAUAAAAAAAUCCUAAUGAUGUACACUUGACAGUUUAUUCAUUGGGAAAUGGGGUAAUGAUGCCAUAUAUACAAGGUUUUCCAAUUGCUGGAAGAAUAUGCAAGUUUUGGAUGAACAUAGUACCGUCGAACAUUUGCCAUUGGUGAGAGAUAUUAUAUUUGGUCCUGCAACUCAAAUUUGGACAAUGGAUAAAUAUUGUGUGAACGGUUUCAAGUUUCAAAUCGAGAACGUUCUUAAGUAUAAGAAAACUAAUAACAGCGGCGUGUGGUUAAAUCGUUGUAUAUUUUGGUGUCGUACAAGAGAUAUUAGAAGUCAGGUACCCUAGUUGGCAAAAAAAGAAGAUAAUUCUAUUUCGGUGCAAGCGGUUUGAUCCCUCACUUAGAGGUAUUAGGGUGAAUCAACAACAUAAUAUAAUUGAAGUUAAGCACACGAGGCAAUAUAAUCGCUAUGAUCCCUUUAUCAUUGCAUAAAAUGCCAGGUAGGUAUAUUAUGCUACAUGUCUAUUGUGCAGAGAUAAACCCAGUUGGUGGUGGGUAUAAAGACUAAGCCUGUGGGGAGAAUUGAGAUUGAGAAUGUGUCAGAUGUGGCAUACCAGAACGAAGUCGCAAUUAUUGAUCAAAUAGUGGAUGAUGAGUUGGAAAACAAUCUCGAACAUCCUUAAUGCAUAUUAGAAGAAGUUUCUGAUGAUGAGAUCAUUGACUUCGCAAAUACUGCGGAAGAAAUAGACGAGGGAAAUGAAUCAUUCUGGGAGGACGAAUGAGACCAAAACCACGGAAGAGGAAGCAUGGGAGAAUGAUGGAAAUGAAACAAGCGAUGAGGAAGAUUGAGAGAAUAUAGAUUAGCUUGUUAGUGUUUUUAUUACCACUACUUAUUUGUUAAUACUUAUGAUUUUUUUGUACGCUAAUGAUGUAACUAAGAAUGGGGUCCUUGCUAAUUUGGUUGUUGUUUAAGUUUAUGUUGUUAAUUGUUGUGUUUUGAGAAUAAUUAUUGUCGGUUCUAGGUAAUUUGGCUUCAGGUUUAGUGUAUUGAAGAUUUCCUAGAAUCGGUAUUUCAUUGAAUCUCCAUUUUCAGAGGCAAGAUAAUGAGCUACAUAGUGACAAUGUUAUCCAGGAUUACGGUUGAGAGACAGUUCUAACUCCAAUGCAUAGACAUCUACUCCCCCAUUUAGUGAACCUUGGGUACUCCUGAGAGUAGCAUCCACAUCUGGAUCUGUAUCUCCACCUCCACUUGUAGCAGAUGAUACAGAUGUACAUUUGAUUGGUCUAGUUCCUGGAGAUAAAGACAGGCUUGGUAGAGUCUUCAUCGAGCCUAAUGGAUCAACGUGGCAUCCCGCAUUAAAAGAAGUUAAUAAGGCAGUAAGGGAGAGCGUUAGGAGGCUUUUUUCACAACCUUGGCACAGUUGGUUGAAGAUUCCAGAACACCAUAGAUAAGCCAUGUUUGAAGAGUUUAAGGAGAAGGACCUGGGUCGCGAACCGACUCAACUUGAGGUCUUCAGACGAACACAUCUGAAGAAAAAAACGAAUGAGUCAGACCCGGAUGUGUGGGUUGAGUCCAGGACUGAAAAUGCCAAUGUGGGAUGCAGAAAAUGCAGAUUUCUGCAUCCAAAAAAAUGCAGAAAAGCGACGGACAGGGUCUCUUUUGUCCAUCGCUUUUUUGAAAUACAUUUCCAGAAGUGCGCCGCUUUGCAUCGCUUUUUAAAUCUGUAAUUUUUUUAAAAGAAAAAUGAUGAUGGUUGUCAUUUUUUUAUUCAUUAUGAAGAACAAAAAGCGAUGACUUAUGAAGAACAGAAAGUGAUGACCAACGUCAUUUUUUAAUCAUUAUGAAGAACAAAAGGCGACGACCAAUGUUGCUUUUUCUAAAAAAAAAAUUAUUUCUCUCAAAA